rnacentral:rRNA from 1 species
AGCUUGCUCCUUUAGGUUAGCGGCGGACGGGUGAGUAACACGUGGGCAACCUGCCCUGCAGACUGGGAUAACUUCGGGAAACCGGAGCUAAUACCGGAUAACACCGAAAACCGCAUGGUUUUCGGUUGAAAGGCGGCAUUAGCUGUCACUGCAGGAUGGGCCCGCGGCGCAUUAGCUAGUUGGUGAGGUAACGGCUCACCAAGGCGACGAUGCGUAGCCGACCUGAGAGGGUGACCGGCCACACUGGGACUGAGACACGGCCCAGACUCCUACGGGAGGCAGCAGUAGGGAAUCUUCCGCAAUGGACGAAAGUCUGACGGAGCAACGCCGCGUGAGCGAAGAAGGUCUUCGGAUCGUAAAGCUCUGUUGUCAGGGAAGAACAAGUGCCGUUCGAACAGGGCGGUACCUUGACGGUACCUGACGAGGAAGCCACGGCUAACUACGUGCCAGCAGCCGCGGUAAUACGUAGGUGGCAAGCGUUGUCCGGAAUUAUUGGGCGUAAAGCGCGCGCAGGCGGUUCCUUAAGUCUGAUGUGAAAUCUCGCGGCUCAACCGCGAGCGGCCAUUGGAAACUGGGGAACUUGAGUGCAGGAGAGGGGAGCGGAAUUCCACGUGUAGCGGUGAAAUGCGUAGAGAUGUGGAGGAACACCAGUGGCGAAGGCGGCUCUCUGGCCUGUAACUGACGCUGAGGCGCGAAAGCGUGGGGAGCGAACAGGAUUAGAUACCCUGGUAGUCCACGCCGUAAACGAUGAGUGCUAAGUGUUAGAGGGUAUCCACCCUUUAGUGCUGCA